rnacentral:rRNA from 1 species
AUGAUCAGCUUGCUGCAACUUCAAGCAGAACUGGAUGUGAAAUAUCAGAUGGAGAGAGAAUCCCGUGCAUCGGCAUUGAAUGUGCAGAUGGGUUUGGUUGAAGGGAUUAUUGACAUCUCUGACAGUGAACGCAACGAUGAAGUUAAUUUUGAAGAGUGGUCUGAUCCUGAGCAUGCUAAACUGGUUGAGACAGAUAGAAGGUUGAGAGAGCAAGAGGAGAAAGAUGCAGAGGUCGUGAAGAUGUAUCAGGAAAUGUAUGGCAAAAAUGAUGGGCACCAAGAAGUCUCAGGCACGGAUAAUGAUUCACUUGUUGAGAAGCACCGUAAGUUAAGGGAGCAAGAGGAAAAAGACACCAAGGUUGCAAUGAUGUAUCAAACACUGUAUGAUCAAAAUGCUACUGAAGCUCAGAUCACCAAUGUGCCAGCAAACAGAAUUCUUGCUCAGGCGGCAAAACCUGCAGGUCGGGAAAGAAGCCCCAUGGAGGGUGGGCGUAGAGGUAGGUUACUAAACAGAGUAGAGUAG